rnacentral:rRNA from 1 species
AGUGAACGCUGGCGGUAGGCCUAACACAUGCAAGUCGAACGGCAGCACAGUAAGAGCUUGCUCUUACGGGUGGCGAGUGGCGGACGGGUGAGGAAUACAUCGGAAUCUACUUUUUCGUGGGGGAUAACGUAGGGAAACUUACGCUAAUACCGCAUACGACCUACGGGUGAAAGCAGGGGAUCUUCGGACCUUGCGCGAUUGAAUGAGCCGAUGUCGGAUUAGCUAGUUGGCGGGGUAAAGGCCCACCAAGGCGACGAUCCGUAGCUGGUCUGAGGGGAUGAUCAGCCACACUGGAACUGAGACACGGUCCAGACUCCUACGGGAGGCAGCAGUGGGGAAUAUUGGACAAUGGGCGCAAGCCUGAUCCAGCCAUACCGCGUGGGUGAAGAAGACCUUCGGGUUGUAAAGCCCUUUUGUUGGGAAAGAAAAGCAGCAGGUUAAUACCCCGCUGUUCUGACGGUACCCAAAGAAUAAGCACCGGCUAACUUCGUG